UACGAAGGGUGCAAGCGUUACUCGGAAUUACUCGGCGUAAAGCGUGCGUAGGUGGUGAGUUAAGUCUGAUGUGAAAUCCCCGGGCUCACCCUGGGAAUGGCAUUGGAUACUGGCUCGCUCGAGUGCGGUAGAGGGUGGUGGAAUUCCCGGUGUAGCAGUGAAAUGCGUAGAGAUCGGGAGGAACAUCUGUGGCGAAGGCGGCCACCUGGACCAGCACUGACACUGAGGCACGAAAGCGUGGGGAGCAAACAGG
rnacentral:rRNA from 1 species